UACGUAGGGUGCGAGCGUUAAUCGGAAUUACUGGGCGUAAAGCGUGCGCAGGCGGUCUGUUAAGACCGAUGUGAAAGCCCCGGGCUUAAACCUGGGAAUGGCCAUGGAAACUGGCGAACUGGAGUGUGGCAGAGGGGGGUGGAAUCCGCGUGUAGCAGUGAAAUGCGUAGAGAUGCGGAGGAACACCGAUGGCGAAGGCAGCCUCCUGGGCCAGCACUGACGCUCAUGCACGAAAGCGUGGGGAGCAAACAGG
rnacentral:rRNA from 1 species